UACGUAGGGUCCGAGCGUUGUCCGGAAUUAUUGGGCGUAAAGGGCUCGUAGGCGGUUCGUCACGUCGGGAGUGAAAACUCGGGGCUUAACCCCGAGCCUGCUUCCGAUACGGGCAGACUAGAGGUAGGCAGGGGAGAGCGGAACUCCUGGUGUAGCGGUGGAAUGCGCAGAUAUCAGGAGGAACACCGGUGGCGAAGGCGGUUCUCUGGGCCUGUACUGACGCUGAGGAACGAAAGCGUGGGGAGCGAACAGG
rnacentral:rRNA from 1 species